UACGAGGGGGGGCAAGCGUUGUUCGGAAUUAUUGGGCGUAAAGGGUGCGUAGGCGGUUUGGUAAGUCUGAUGUGAAAUCUAUGGGCUCAACUCAUAGUCUGCAUCGGAAACUGCCGGGCUUGAGUGUGGGAGAGGUGAGUGGAAUUCCUGGUGUAGCGGUGAAAUGCGUAGAUAUCAGGAGGAACACCUGUGGCGAAAAGCGGCUCACUGGACCAUAACUGACGCUGAUGCACGAAAGCUAGGGGGAGCAAACAGG
rnacentral:rRNA from 1 species